rnacentral:rRNA from 1 species
GAUCCUGGCUCAGGAUGAACGCUAGCUACAGGCUUAACACAUGCAAGUCGAGGGGCAGCAUUUCAGUUUGCUUGCAAACUGGAGAUGGCGACCGGCGCACGGGUGAGUAACACGUAUCCAACCUGCCGAUAACUUUUCGGGGAUAGCCUUUCGAAAGAAAGAUUAAUACCCGAUGGUAUAAUCAGACCGCAUGGUCUUGUUAUUAAAGAAUUUCGGUUAUCGAUGGGGAUGCGUUCCAUUAGGCAG